rnacentral:rRNA from 1 species
AUUGAACGCUGGCGGCAUGCCUAACACAUGCAAGUCGAACGGCAGCAUGAGAGAGCUUGCUCUCUUGAUGGCGAGUGGCGGACGGGUGAGUAAUACAUCGGGACCUACCCAUGACGUGGGGGAUAACCUCGGGAAACCGGGACUAAUACCGCAUACGUCCUACGGGAGAAAGCGGGGGACCUUCGGGCCUCGCGCGUCUGGACGGGCCGAUGUUCGAUUAGCUUGUUGGUGAGGUAAUGGCUCACCAAGGCGACGAUCGAUAGCUGGUCUGAGAGGAUGAUCAGCCACAUUGGGACUGAGACACGGCCCAAACUCCUACGGGAGGCAGCAGUGGGGAAUAUUGGACAAUGGGCGAAAGCCUGAUCCAGCAAUGCCGCGUGUGUGAAGAAGGCCUUCGGGUUGUAAAGCACUUUUAUCAGGAACGAAAUCGGCAAGGUUAAUAACCGUGUCGUCUGACGGUACCUGAGGAAUAAGCACCGGCUAACUUCGUG